UGUGACACGUAGCAACGGGGCUGGUUCAGGGUCUGAAACAGAGUUUGGGGGUUGUUUGGGAUUAGUGAAGCUACUGCCUUUGCCGCCAGCGCAGCCUCAGAGUUUGAUUAUUUGCAAUGUCAGGCUUUGAAAACUUAAACACGGAUUUCUACCAGACAAGUUACAGCAUCGAUGAUCAGUCACAGCAGUCCUAUGAUUAUGGAGGAAGUGGAGGACCCUAUAGCAAACAGUAUGCUGGCUAUGACUAUUCGCAGCAAGGCAGAUUUGUCCCUCCAGACAUGAUGCAGCCACAACAGCCAUACACCGGGCAGAUUUACCAGCCAACUCAGGCAUAUACUCCAGCUUCACCUCAGCCUUUCUAUGGAAACAACUUUGAGGAUGAGCCACCUUUAUUAGAAGAGUUAGGUAUCAAUUUUGACCACAUCUGGCAAAAAACACUAACAGUAUUACAUCCGUUAAAAGUAGCAGAUGGCAGCAUCAUGAAUGAAACUGAUUUGGCAGGUCCAAUGGUUUUUUGCCUUGCUUUUGGAGCCACAUUGCUACUGGUAAGAUUUUCAUUUCAACCUUCAGGGUGCAAUUAAAGAACAGCCUUUAAAUUUUAAAUGUUCUACCAAAAGCCAUUUUGAAACUCCGCUUUACACCUCAAGUCUUUGAUGUGUUUGGAAUAGUACUGAGUUGCUUGUAUUUAUACCUAUUCAUUAGUUCUCCAUCUAUAGUAAGUGUAGCAUGUUUUAAAAAUCAUUUCUUUUUCUAAGAAAUGAUUAAAUUAUUAGGGGAAAAAACAAAAAAAAAA
rnacentral:lncRNA from 1 species